rnacentral:lncRNA from 1 species
AUAACCGAAGCUCCGGACCAGGCUGGAGAGGUGACAUUGCCAGAGAGACGGGCACAGUGUUGGACAGUUACACCAGGCUUGGAAGCGGCAGCUCUCUGCGUGUCAGAAUCACCUGCGGCCCGGCUGUCUGAGCCACUCCCCUGCUCCACACCCGGAAAACCUCCAGGAAGAGCGUCACAAGCAAGCGACCACUGUCCUUGCCCUGUUCAGCUUCCCAAGCAAGUAGGUGACCCAGACAGGAAGUGAGCAGAGAGGAAGCAGAAGGUGCGGCUGCAGGUGCAUUUCUAGCCCUCGGUGGGGUGCGGCUGCUCCUGCCAGUCCACACUCAAGGUGGCAUGUGUGCCCCACGCUUGAGUGUAUCUCACUCAAUUGCUGCCCUGGCUCAGGAACCACAUGCUUCCUUCUGCCUGGGUCCUGAAUGACUGCUGUCCCCAACUCCACUUAUCCCCAAGGUCACCACCCA